AUACGGAGGAUCCGAGCGUUAUCCGGAUUUAUUGGGUUUAAAGGGUGCGCAGGCGGGAGAUUAAGUCGGCGGUGAAAGUUUUCAGCUCAACUGUAAAAGGGGCUUCGAAACUGGUUUCCUUUAGUGUAGAAUGAGUAGGCGGAAUUUGUGGGGUAGCGGUGAAAUGCAUAGAUAUCACGAGGAACUCCGAUUGCGCAGGCAGCUUACUAAACUACUACUGACGCUCAGGCACGAAGGCGUGGGGAUCAAACAGGAUUAGAUACCCUGGUAGUCCACGCAGUAAACGAUGAUUACUAGCUGUUUGCGAUACAAUGUAAGCGGCUGAGCGAAAGCGUUAAGUAAUCCACCUGGGGAGUACGUUCGCAAGAAUGAAACUCAAAUGAAUUGACGGGG
rnacentral:rRNA from 1 species